rnacentral:rRNA from 1 species
ACGCUCACACCUACGGGAGCAGCAGUGAGGAAUAUUGGUCAAUGGGCGCUAGCCUGAACCAGCCAAGUAGCGUGAAGGAUGAAGGCUCUAUGGGUCGUAAACUUCUUUUAUAUAAGAAUAAAGUGCAGUAUGUAUACUGUUUUGUAUGUAUUAUAUGAAUAAGGAUCGGCUAACUCCGUGCCUGCAGCCGCGGUAAUCUGAGCGGGCUGGCAAGGC